CUACAAUGGACAAUACAAAGGGCAGCGAAACCGCGAGGUCAAGCAAAUCCCAUAAAGUUGUUCUCAGUUCGGAUUGUAGUCUGCAACUCGACUACAUGAAGCUGGAAUCGCUAGUAAUCGUAGAUCAGCAUGCUACGGUGAAUACGUUCCCGGGUCUUGUACACACCGCCCGUCACACCACGAGAGUUUGUAACACCCGAAGCCGGUGGAGUAACCUUUUAGGAGCUAGCCGUCGAAGGUGGGACAAAUGAUUGGGGUGAAGUCGUAACAAGGUAGCCGUAUCGGAAGGUGCGGCUGGAUCACCUCCUUU
rnacentral:rRNA from 1 species